rnacentral:rRNA from 1 species
GCCACACUGGGACUGAGACACGGCCCAGACACCUACGGGUGGCAGCAGUAGGGAAUAUUGGACAAUGGGCGAAAGCCUGAUCCAGCAAUGCCGCGUGAGUGACGAAGGAUUUCGGUCUGUAAAGCUCUUUUGUGAGGGAAGAAAUGACAUGUGAGGAAAUGCUCAUGUCUUGACGGUACCUCAUGAAUAAGGGACGGCUAACUCCGUGCCAGCAGCCGCGGUAAUACGGAGGUCCCAAGCGUUGUUCGGAAUUACUGGGCGUAAAGGGAGCGCAGGCGGACAGGUAAGUCUAAAGUGGAAUCCCGGGGCUCAACCUCGGAACUGCUUCGGAUACUGCCUGUCUUGAGUUCGUGAGAGGAAAGCGGAAUUCAGGGUGUAGCGGUGAAAUGCUUAGAUAUCCUGAGGAACACCAAUGGCGAAGGCAGCUUUCUGGCGCGAUACUGACGCUGAGGCUCGAAAGCGUGGGGAGCGAACGGGAUUAGAUACCCCGGUAGUCCACGCCGUAAACGUUGUGCGCUAGGUGUAGGAGGUAUCGACCCCUUCUGUGCCGCAGCUAACGCAUUAAGCGCACCGCCUGGGGAGUACGGUCGCAAGACUGAAACUCAAAGGAAUUGACGGGGGCCCGCACAAGCGGUGGAGCAUGUGGUUUAAUUCGAGGCAACGCGAAGAACCUUACCCAGACUUGACAUCCCAGGACAGCUUAUGAAAGUAAGUCUUCCCUUCGGGGACCUGGAGACAGGUGUUGCAUGGCUGUCGUCAGCUCGUGUCGUGAGAUGUUGGGUUAAGUCCCGCAACGAGCGCAACCCCUAUUCUUAGUUACCAUCGGGUAAUGCCGGGCACUCUAAGAAGACCGCCGGUGAUAAACCGGAGGAAGGCGGGGACGACGUCAAGUCAUCAUGGCCCUUACGUCUGGGGCUACACACGUGCUACAAUGGCCGGUACAAUGGGCUGCAAUACCGCGAGGUGGAGCCAACCCCAAAAAACCGGUCUCAGUUCGGAUUGGAGUCUGCAACUCGACUCCAUGAAGCCGGAAUCGCUAGUAAUCGAGGAUCAGCUACGCCUCGGUGAAUACGUUCCCGGGCCUUGUACACACCGCCCGUCACAUGACCCGAGUCGGUUGCACCCGAAGUCACUGGCCUAACCCGCAAGGGAAGGAGGUGCCGAAGGUGUGAUUGGUGAGGGGGAUGAAGUCGAAACAAGGUA